rnacentral:rRNA from 1 species
AUUGAACGCUGGCGGCAGGCCUAACACAUGCAAGUCGAACGAGUGGCGGACGGGUGAGUAAUGUCUGGGAAACUGCCUGAUGGAGGGGGAUAACUACUGGAAACGGUAGCUAAUACCGCAUACCAUCGGAUGUGCCCCGAUGGGAUUCGCUAGUAGGUGGGGUAAAGGCUAACCUAGGCGACGAUCCCUAGCGGGUCUGAGAGGAUGACCAGCCACACUGGACCUGAUACACGGUCCACACUCCUACGGGAGGCAGCUGUGGUUAAUAUUGCACAAUGGGCGCAAGCCUGAUGCAGCCAUGCCGCGUGUAUUAAGAAGUCCUUCGGGUUGGAAAGUACUUUCAGCGGGGAGGCGUUACCCGCAGAAGAAGCUCCGGCUAACUCCGUGCCAGCCGCGGCGGUAAUAC